rnacentral:lncRNA from 1 species
ACAAGAGCAACCGGAACUGGAACAUGAACCAUUAUGUGGGCAACUAAGAAACUGAAGUGUACUGGCUGGGGGGAGGCAUUUUCCGCUACAGGAGGGGUCCAUGGAGGUACAGAACUUCUAAGUGAUAAAGGGCCACAAGGUCAGGCACUGGAGGCAGAAGUACACGGACAGUGUGCAGGGAAAUAGAUGAGCAAAGGUGCUGUGGAGAUGUAACAAGGGCUCGCACAUGUCAUAGUAUGAGCUCAACAAACAGAAGGGUACAAAAGUGGUGGGAAGUGGCUCCCCACAAAGCUAAGAAGACCAAAGUAUGUAAGGUCCUGAUCAACUACGAAUGCCUUUAUGUAGAGAAAUUCUGAUUGUAAAGUCAUCUCCAUUUCUAUUGGUUUAUCUUGUUGAGACACUCUGCUGUUUCAGAGCAAUUUUGCCAUGAUCGUUCAUCGCUGUUUCCUAGCUCUUCUCUUCCUUGCUCUGAUCUCUGCCUCAGAAACCGACGAUAAUUAUGAAGUCAAUAGUGUGCUGGACUGUAAAAAUGUAACGAUGUGUAGUUCUAAAAGUGCAUCUGGACAGUGCAUCUAUACUAGAGAGGUUAACAUGUGCGUCUUGCGUCUUAGGAAAACUCAAAGGGAACAAACCUUAAAGAAAUAGAAAUUAGGAAGACAUGAUGAUUGACUGCUUUGUCAUGUCAAUAAAGUUGGAGUUUGUCCAUCUCCUCCUCUAGUGACACGUCUCUAUUUAUUGACAGUUUAAACAGCUUACAAAAGAACAUUUGAGGUUUAAGAUAAAUUACAAUGAGAAUAACCAUAUCUUCUUCAGUUCCAACAGGUGAAGGUAGACCUACAUAUUCGAGAAGCCAAAAGAUUUGUUGUGUUUGAGUUGUGGGAGAAAGUUUUCGGAAGCAGGAAGUAGGAGAGGAAAAAUCAAAAGGAAC